CAGCAAUGUGGAAGUUGGAAUCGUGAAAGUUGACGUAUUUUAAGACUUCCUGAAACACCUUCAAGUCCAUCUGAAAGGAGCGAGAGACAACCAUGUAAAGAAAACAAACAGGUCAAAGCGGACCGGAUGAACUCCGGCUGUCAAGCUGCAAUCUUACGGUGACUUAACAGUCAGUGAAGGGUAGCCAGCUAGCUUUUCGGAGCAUUUUCACGGACACCAGUCGAAGUUUCGUAUCAUUCACUCCCCUCCCAUGAGCUGCUUGGUGUAACCGUGUGUGAAGAAGCCGCCCCAUGUGGAGGCAGCCUGGCAGCUCCAUGACCCCGCAUGAUGUCUGCUCAUCAGCCUGCCAGAUGGAGGAGGAGUAAACUGAAGCGAGCGUGACAUCCAGUCAGCAGGUGACAAUUAUGGGCGUAAUUGAGACACGCUCCUUACUUCUAUUUUUUGGCUCUUCCUGUACGUUGCAAUUCCAACUCUCAUGUUUGAUUAGGUUCUUCCUCCAGGGCAGUAAUUUCCCUAUGAUUGAGCCCCUUGAAGUCUACCUGACAACAAUACCUCACAGUUGUUUUUUUUUUUUCUUUUUGUUUUUUUCCCAGACAUAAACAAUGAGAGGCCAGCACUUGGCCUAAUGGUUAGCAUGUCUACCUGACAGUUGCGUGCUUCUUGGUUUGAAUUGCCUUCCUGUGUGGACUUUGCAUGUUCUGCCCAUGGUUGCGUGUUUUUUUUUUUCUCAUGGUACUUCCCACGUUCCAAAAACAUGCAUGACAGGUUAAGGGUUAAGGGGACUUGUCAGUCAAACAAACACAUGAUUCCUAAGAAUCGCCUACUGGGAACUUUGUACAUCUACACUUGUACGAUAGUACGAAAAUAAUCUGGUUGUGAAUUAGAAUAGUGGUUAGUCAUGCCAUUUUUGGCUAUUCUGAACCCUGCUAGUCUUAAAAUAUUCAUACUACAGUACUGGUGGCGCGGAACGGGGGCAGCUUGUUAAACAGAAAAACAUGCCUCGGACUCCCACUAAUUACAACAACUGCAUUCAGCGUAAUGGUGAGUUGUUUGUUAAUCAUUUGUUUUCAAAAUCUGUCUUUACGUGAAACUCAUCCGUGGCACGAAGAAAGUUUGGAAGCGCUGUCUUGUGCUGAAAAAAAAAAACAGUGACGUCAUUAAUUGACUCCACUUCGACUUCCAUCACAUUAUGGUCGACUACAAAAAAUCUUUAGUCAUUCAACCCCUAUAUCCUUAUGAGGACAAGUACCACACACUGAAAAGUAGAGUAUUUACUGAAACUUACACAGUAGGUCAAGCGAAAGAGGCCAAUUUAAAUAAAUACAAUACAUUCUACUCUAUCUAAAGCCAUGAGCUCAAAAAUGCAUAGGCUCAGUUUGCGCAGAGAGCACAAAUGACAAUGUACAAUAUAUGUUACUGUUCAAAGUUUUUUUUCACGAAGAAUGUCCUCUAAGGUUAACAGCAGUUAACGUUUAUUGCAUUAAGCAUAAGUAUUGUAUGUCAUUCAAAGAGACUGUAUUGACAGGAAGAUGAUGUAUUGUGCAAUGUAAAUACUAAGGUAAAACAGCUGUGUGGCAAAGUCAAAUGGGUGUACAAUUAGAGAAUAAUAACAAAACAUUACAUUAAGCUGGCCGCAUGAUGGUUUAGUGGUUAGCAAGUCUGCCGGGGUCCAGCCUUUUGUUGUAAAUGGAUGUUAGCUACCCUAAUUAUAACAAGCAGUAUAGAAAAUGGUAAUUUGCAUGUGCGAAGUGUGCAAUCGACGCAAUGCGAAGGGUAUUUUUGAUACAGGCAAUAUUACCACCUAGGGCUGUCGUACUGGGUCCCAUUCAAGCCAGCACUGCUACUGUCUCCCCUUUGAUUCUUUUAUCAUGUAUGUUUUCACACCCCUAAUUUACUGCACUAUCUAAGCAUAUUGUCACAGAAGGGUUUUCAUGGCGUUUGAAGGCAAGACAAAAUGUGGCGCACCCAAGUGCAGGGAAGCAGGGAGGCAAGGCAGGAGUUCGGGAAUAUAAAAAAAAAUAAAAAUUGCCCAAAAAAGGCAAACAAGGAUCAAGGAGGUCACGCAAAAUUAACAAAAGUCCUAAAAUCUAAAUACAAAGUAACAAAGGGGGACAAAUAACUCACCACUACAAGACGGGACCAGGAUACAUGACAUAAGACAAGACUACCUUUAACACUCAACAUACACUAGUUGACAAUGAUCCUAACCAAGUACUAACCAGGCCCGAUCCUGUUUAGCUUCCGAGAACAGACGAUGGUGCAUUUUCAGGGUACUAUGACCGUAAGCUUGUUGAAGCCAGCAGGUGAGAUUUUGACUUACGCCUCCCUUCAACAGCCCACUGAUCCCACAAAGGAGCAACAACAAUCGAAGAGCAAAUUCCAUCUGUGCAAUGAUGGAAACAAAUUUUCAGAUUUUUAACAAUAUAUAUCAGCGUUAUAUUUAAUGUACAUCUGAACAUGCUGAAACAAACCAAAAAAAUUGUUAAUGCUGACAAGGUAAAUCGACUUUGAAAAGUAGGAUAUCAAGUCGUGUGAAGUUACUUUCGCAGUCGUGAGGCAUGCCGCUGAGGACAACGACGACGAGCAAUCCCUUUAUAGUUUAGGUUGACAGUCUUGUGUGUUGUACAUACCCAUAAUGGCAAUGUCACAUGACACAUCAGGUGUCUUUCCACUACAAUUAAAAUAUUCAUUAAAUUGAUUGUGUAAUUAAAAUCCAAGGAAAUAGUGGUACCCAAACAAUUAUCCAAAAGAUAACUACUAUUUUAUGUACACUUUAGCGAAUCUGUGGGUCAUCGUCGUUAAUGCUCCCUGGUUCACAAUUGUCCAUGCUGUUGUCCCUGUUUUCCUGCAUUACAAGUCCCCAAGAUAUCAAUCAAUCAAUCAAUAUCUCAUUACCUCUCUCUAUU